rnacentral:rRNA from 1 species
GAUGAACGCUAGCGGCAGGCCUAACACAUGCAAGUCGAGGGGCAUCACGGAUUGCUUGCAAUCUGGUGGCGACCGGCGCACGGGUGCGUAACGCGUAUACAACCUACCUUUUUGGAGGGGAAUAGCCCAGAGAAAUUUGGAUUAAUACCCCAUAGUAUAUAGGAAUCUCCUGAUUUUUAUAUUAAACAUUUAUGGCCAUUAGAUGGGUAUGCGUCCUAUUAGCUAGUUGGUGUGGUAACGGCACACCAAGGCUACGAUAGGUAGGGGUCCUGAGAGGGAGAUCCCCACACUGGUACUGAGACACGGACCAGACUCCUACGGGAGGCAGCAGUGAGGAAUAUUGGACAAUGGGCGAGAGCCUGAUCCAGCCAUGCCGCGUGCAGGAAGACUGCCCUAUGGGUUGUAAACUGCUUUUACAGAGGAAGAACCACCCCCACGUGUGGGGGUUUGACGGUACUCUGCGAAUAAGGAUCGGCUAACUCCGUG